AACGAACAUCAAAAGAUGUUGAUUUGAUUAUAUUUGGUUGUCAAAGAUCAUUGAGGUCUUUAAAAGCUUUAAUGGGGAAUUAGCUCAGCUGGGAGAGCGCCUGCUUUGCACGCAGGAGGUCAGCGGUUCGAUCCCGCUAUUCUCCACCAUUUCGGCGUAAAGCACUUUAUAAGCAUACUUCAUGUACUUCUAGUACACUUCGUAAACUUAUAAAGCACUUUUCGUUCGAAAUGAGUUUGAAUAAACCAUAUGGUUUGAGCUAUUUUUGGUUUUAUGCCUAAUGAAAGAGUUUUACGAAACCUUUUCAUUAGACAUUUGUCUAAAAGUUAUUUAACUUAUCAUUGUUAAGAGUCUAACGUAAUGUUGCAAGAUAUUUAUAGAAAUAUAAUUAUCAAACAAAAAAUUACAAUUUAACAGAAAAAAUUAUUAAUAGCAAUAUUGAUAAUCUUUCAUGUGCAAAAAACUCAUAAUCUUAUUAGAUGUAACAUUAAAUUCUAUGUAUAUAGUUUUUAUUGAGCGACUAGUCGCGUGAGCUGUCUGCUGAAGACCUAAUUUUGAGCUUUGCUUAAAAUUUGAGAAUGAUUCAGAUAGUAUGAUUGCAUUUAAUAAGGUAGUUCCUUAGAAUAAUAUAAAUUAAACUAAGGGCAGAUGGUGGAUGCCUUGACUGGUAGAGGCGAUGAAGGACGUACUAGGCUGCGAUAAGCCAUGGGGAGCUGCCAAGAAGCUUUG
rnacentral:misc_RNA from 1 species